rnacentral:tRNA from 1 species
GCUCUUGUAGUUCAGUGGAUAGAACAAGGGACUCCUAAGCCCUAGACGCAGGUUCGAUUCCUGCCAAGGGCACCA